UCGCGUGAGCAACUCUGCCACAAAUCGAGCAGCGGCAAGCAUUCGCAGCGGAAACUGAAACCGAAACCCCGAAACAGAAACAACACUAAAUUCACAACAAAUUACAAGCAAAUAAAUUAUAAACAAGCAAAAUACAACAAACACAAACCGAUGAAUAGAAAAACCAAAAUAUACAGAAUAUUCCCCUGUAAAAGUCCCCCCGCACAAAACUCGCGAAACGUUUAUUGUGUGUUUAAUGAAAAAUCACAAGUUCUGACCAUAUUAUACAAAUACCAAACAUAUUUUUUUAAAGUGUGAACCCACAAAGUGCUUUAAACCAACAACAACAACAACAACUACUAUUACUACAACUACUUCUACCAAAAUGCCUUUAAACAGCGUCACGCUUUAGUGUCACGAGUGUUAGAAAGUCCCCACCCCUUAAUUGCAAGACCAAUUUUUGAAACUAAAACAGGUGUCCCGUUUGCCAGAGUCUGCCACUGGGAGCAGUGUUGGUAAGCGGUGCAACUAAACAGAUUGUUGCCAAGCGCAGCAGCGAAACAGUGUUAGCAAGCGGCCAACGAAGCAAAGGAAACAGUAGCAGCAGGUGGCCGAAAACAGAACAAACAGGCCCAGCAACUCAGCUCUGGAACCCGGCGACUUGUGCAAUUAAUGAUUCGCUAUCGAUGUGAAGCGAGUUGCCGGCUGUUGUUCAACGUUGAAAGCAACGCAUUCGCUCGGCCCUAGUGCUUCGGGCAACAACACAGACUCGAGAGAUCGGAUAUAGGAUCAGAUCGGGGGAGCACCAGCAAGGAAACGGAAACGGAAACCCAACCCGAAACGGAAACGGAAACUAAACCGAUGGAUCAUCUGCGAAACUCCCACAAAAGAAGCAAAGCAAACAACAGUCUCCUCAAAAGAAAGCAAAUAAGGAAACUCUAGAAGGAAACUUGUGAUAAGUGUGCCUCCAGAACCCACUCGAUAUAUAGCGAGAACGAUAUAUAUAUAUAAACACAAGGAUCAGAUAUAUAUAUAUAUAUAUAAAAACAAGAUAGAUAGACUUGUUGAUUAGUCCAAAAGCAACCAAAACCAACAAGUGCAACGCGUAGGCCUUCAACUGUGAUUUAAGCAUAACAAGAAAGAAAGAAAGGAAAUCAGAUAUAUAUAUAAUAUAUAGAGAG